rnacentral:rRNA from 1 species
UUAGAGUUUGAUCCUGGCUCAGAACGAACGCUGGCGGCGUGGAUAAGACAUGCAAGUCGAACGAGAGAAUUGCUAGCUUGCUAAUAAUUCUCUAGUGGCGCACGGGUGAGUAACACGUGAGUAACCUGCCCCCGAGAGCGGGAUAGCCCUGGGAAACUGGGAUUAAUACCGCAUAGUAUCGAAAGAUUAAAGCAGCAAUGCGCUUGGGGAUGGGCUCGCGGCCUAUUAGUUAGUUGGUGAGGUAACGGCUCACCAAGGCGAUGACGGGUAGCCGGUCUGAGAGGAUGUCCGGCCACACUGGAACUGAGACACGGUCCAGACACCUACGGGUGGCAGCAGUCGAGAAUCAUUCACAAUGGGGGAAACCCUGAUGGUGUGACGCCGCGUGGGGGAAUGAAGGUCUUCGGAUUGUAAACCCCUGUCAUGUGGGAGCAAAUUAAAAAGAUAGUACCACAAGAGGAAGAGACGGCUAACUCUGUGCCAGCAGCCGCGGUAAUACAGAGGUCUCAAGCGUUGUUCGGAAUCACUGGGCGUAAAGCGUGCGUAGGCUGUUUCGUAAGUCGUGUGUGAAAGGCGCGGGCUCAACCCGCGGACGGCACAUGAUACUGCGAGACUAGAGUAAUGGAGGGGGAACCGGAAUUCUCGGUGUGGCAGUGAAAUGCGUAGAUAUCGAGAGGAACACUCGUGGCGAAGGCGGGUUCCUGGACAUUAACUGACGCUGAGGCACGAAGGCCAGGGGAGCGAAAGGGAUUAGAUACCCCUGUAGUCCUGGCAGUAAACGGUGCACGCUUGGUGUGCGGGGAAUCGACCCCCUGCGUGCCGGAGCUAACGCGUUAAGCGUGCCGCCUGGGGAGUACGGUCGCAAGAUUAAAACUCAAAGAAAUUGACGGGGACCCGCACAAGCGGUGGAGUAUGUGGCUUAAUUCGAUGCAACGCGAAGAACCUUACCUGGGCUUGACAUGUAAUGAACAACAUGUGAAAGCAUGCGACUCUUCGGAGGCGUUACACAGGUGCUGCAUGGCCGUCGUCAGCUCGUGUCGUGAGAUGUUUGGUUAAGUCCAGCAACGAGCGCAACCCCUGUUGCCAGUUACCAGCACGUGAAGGUGGGGACUCUGGCGAGACUGCCCAGAUCAACUGGGAGGAAGGUGGGGACGACGUCAGGUCAGUAUGGCCCUUAUGCCCAGGGCUGCACACGUACUACAAUGCCCAGUACAGAGGGGGCCGAAGCCGCGAGGCGGAGGAAAUCCUGAAAACUGGGCCCAGUUCGGACUGUAGGCUGCAACCCGCCUACACGAAGCCGGAAUCGCUAGUAAUGGCGCAUCAGCUACGGCGCCGUGAAUACGUUCCCGGGUCUUGCACACACCGCCCGUCA